AUCGUUUCUGGGCCUUUCGGCCAGGAUCAAAGGUAGUUAAUAUCUGUUCUUAACAGUUUCGUGUCUGCUGCGUCCUCUAUCCGAGGACAUGAUAUUAAUUGGAUUCUCAGAGCAGGAAGAUGGAAUAGGAACUUGCUGGGUCCACUCCGCGCGUCGACCUGGUAUUGCAGUACUUCCAGGAACAGGGCACCAGAA